CCAAACUUGGUCAUUUAGAGGAAGUAAAAGUCGUAACAAGGUUUCCGUAGGUGAACCUGCGGAAGGAUCAUUACCGCCGGCCGGGGCCCCGCCGCCCCGCGCCUUGUCACCCGUGUCUACCUGACCCCGUUGCCCUCCGGCGGGCCCGCGCCCGCCGGAGGGACCCAGGAACCCCCGUGAAGCCUGAACGUGUCUGAAGUCGGCGGCGAAUCGUCAAAACUUUCAACAAUGGAUCUCUUGGUUCCGGCAUCGAUGAAGAACGCAGC
rnacentral:misc_RNA from 1 species